GUGGGGAAUAUUGGACAAUGGGCGAAAGCCUGAUCCAGCAAUGCCGCGUGAGUGAUGAAGGCCUUAGGGUUGUGAGGCUCUUUUACCAGGGAUGAUAAUGACAGGACCUGGAGAAUAAGCUCCGGCUAACUCCGUGCCAGCAGCCGCGGUAAUACGGAGGGAGCUAGCGUUGUUCGGAAUUACUGGGCGUAAAGCGCACGUAGGCGGCUACUCAAGUCAGAGGUGAAAGCCCGGGGCUCAACCCCGGAACUGCCUUUGAAACUAGGUAGCUAGAAUCUUGGAGAGGUCAGUGGAAUUCCGAGUGUAGAGGUGAAAUUCGUAGAUAUUCGGAAGAACACCAGUGGCGAAGGCGACUGACUGGACAAGUAUUGACGCUGAGGUGCGAAAGCGUGGGGAGCAAACAGGAUUAGAUACCCGGGUAGUCC
rnacentral:rRNA from 1 species